rnacentral:misc_RNA from 1 species
GAUGAAGAACGUAGCGAAAUGCGAUACGUAAUGUGAAUUGCAGAAUUCAGUGAAUCAUCGAGUCUUUGAACGCACAUUGCGCCCCCUGGUAUUCCGGGGGGCAUGCCUGUCCGAGCGUCAUUGCUGCCCUCAAGCACGGCUUGUGUGUUGGGCCUCCGUCCUCCUCCCGGGGGACGGGCCCGAAAGGCAGCGGCGGCACCGCGUCCGGUCCUAGAGCGUAUGGGGCUUCGUCACCCGCUCUUGUAGGCCCGGCCGGCGCUUGCCGACACAUCAAUCUUUUUUCCAGGUUGACCUCGGAUCAGGUAGGGAUACCCGCUGAACUUAAGCAUAUCAAUAAGCGGAGGA